rfam:Salmo salar isolate Sally breed double haploid chromosome ssa01, whole genome shotgun sequence.
AAUCGACCAAUUUGUAAGUCGCUCUGGAUAAGAGCGUCUGCUAAAUGACUUAAA